rnacentral:misc_RNA from 1 species
UCUUGGUGCAACAAUGGCAGAUGGUAUGCAAGGUUAGGAAUGGCGAUGUGAGUUACUUUCAAUGAUGCGGGAAACGGAAGAUCGUAUUGAACAGUGGCAAACUGAGUUUCGGAAAAAAGCUGAGUCAAGCACUCAUCGGGCAAAUGAAGAACUCAAGACUCUUAUGGCAAGUAAAAGUCUUCAACACAAUGAACUAGCUACAAAGGGAAGCAUUAUAAUGGUGGUUAUAAACAAUCUUGGUCCAAAUUUCCUAAAUUGGAUUUUCCUCAUUUUUGUGGUGAUCAUCUUGAAUCUUGGUUAAUAAAAGCUUAGUAUUAUUUUGAAGUCACAAAUACUCCGAUGGAAAAUGUAUUUGGAUGAGAAGGCAGUGCAAUGGCAUCAGGGGUAAGUUAGGAUCAGAGGUACAAAAGCUUAUGGUAGAUGGGAUGAGUAUGUUCGUGGGUUGAAGGAGAGGUUUG